CAGACGAUCGUACCUAGCGUACCUGAGUGUUGCGGUUACAAUCUCCUAAUUGGACCUUGGGUCUGGCUGGCCGGUCCGCCGCACCGGGAGUACUGGUCCGGCUGGACCUUUCCUUCUGGGGAACCUCAUGGCCUUCACUGGCUGUGGGGGGAACCAGGACUUUUACUGUGAAAAAAUUAGAGUGUUCAAAGCAGGCCUUUGCUCGAAUACAUUAGCAUGGAAUAAUAGAAUAGGACGUGCGGUUCUAUUUUGUUGGUUUCUAGGACCGCCGUAAUGAUUAAUAGGGAUAGUCGGGGGCGUCAGUAUUCAGCUGUCAGAGGUGAAAUUCUUGGAUUUGCUGAAGACUAACUACUGCGAAAGCAUUCGCCAAGGAUGUUUUCAUUAAUCAGGGAACGAAAGUUAGGGGAUCGAAGACGAUCAGAUACCGUCGUAGUCUUAACCAUAAACUAUGCCGACUAGGGAUCGG
rnacentral:rRNA from 1 species